GGGCGUAUAGCUCAGCGGUAGAGCAGCUCGCUUACAACGAGCAGGUCGGGGGUUCGAUCCCCUCUGCGCCCA
rnacentral:tRNA from 1 species